CCCUACGGGGGGCAGCAGUUAGGAAUAUUCGGCAAUGGGGGAAACCCUGACCGAGCAAUGCCGCGUGUGAGAUGAAGGCCCUAUGGGUUGUAAAUCGCUUUUAUUUGGGAAGAACUGUAAGUAGAGGAAAUGAUACUUACUUGACGGUACCUUUUGAAUAAGCCCCGGCUAACUACGUGCCAGCAGCCGCGGUAAUACGUAGGGGGCGAGCGUUAUCCGGAUUUACUGGGUGUAAAGGGAGCGUAGACGGCGAUGCAAGUCUGAAGUGAAAGCCCGGGGCUCAACCCCGGUACUGCUUUGGAAAC
rnacentral:rRNA from 1 species